rnacentral:rRNA from 1 species
CAGGUCAUAGUGAUCCGGUGGUUCUGAAUGGAAGGGCCAUCGCUCAACGGAUAAAAGGUACUCCGGGGAUAACAGGCUGAUACCGCCCAAGAGUUCAUAUCGACGGCGGUGUUUGGCACCUCGAUGUCGGCUCAUCACAUCCUGGGGCUGAAGUCGGUCCCAAGGGUAUGGCUGUUCGCCAUUUAAAGUGGUACGCGAGCUGGGUUUAGAACGUCGUGAGACAGUUCGGUCCCUAUCUGCCGUGGGCGUUGGAAGAUUGAAGGGGGCUGCUCCUAGUACGAGAGGACCGGAGUGGACGAACCUCUGGUGUUCGGGUUGUGUCGCCAGACGCAUUGCCCGGUAGCUAAGUUCGGAAUCGAUAACCGCUGAAAGCAUCUAAGCGGGAAGCGAGCCCUGAGAUGAGUCUUCCCUGAUACUUUAAGUAUCCUAAAGGGUUGUCGGAGACUACGACGUUGAUAGGUCAGGUGUGUAAGUGCUGUGAGGCAUUGAGCUAACUGAUACUAAUUGCCCGUGAGGCUUAACCAUACAACACCCAAGGGGUUU